rnacentral:sRNA from 1 species
CUACCUCGCUGGGACCCUGGUCUUGCUGUCCCCCGCUGGCCUCCUGCCCAAGCGACUGCGGCCAGGAUGGGCCGGAAGGUGACCGUGGCCACCUGCGCACUCAACCAGUGGGCCCUGGACUUCGAGGGCAAUUUGCAAAGAAUUUUAAAGAGUAUUGAAAUUGCCAAAAACAGAGGAGCAAGAUACAGGCUUGGACCAGAGCUGGAAAUAUGCGGCUACGGAUGUUGGGAUCAUUAUUACGAGUCGGACACCCUCUUGCACUCGUUUGAAGUCCUAGCGGCCCUUCUGGAGUCUCCCGUCACUCAGGACAUCAUCUGCGACGUGGGGAUGCCUGUAAUGCACCGAAACGUCCGCUACAACUGCAGAGUGAUAUUCCUCAACAGGAAGAUCCUGCUCAUCAGACCCAAGAUGGCCUUGGCCAAUGAAGGCAACUACCGCGAGCUGCGCUGGUUCACCCCGUGGUCGAGGAGUCGGGCAGUUCCAGAACCGGAAUGACCCUCAUAACUGAAGCCAUUAGCACACAGAGGAGUACUUUCUGCCUCGGAUGAUACAGGACCUG